rnacentral:lncRNA from 1 species
GGAUCAUUACUAAUAAAACAAGGUUUAACCACUUCAAUAAAUAGAUCACCUGGAAAGCCUUGCUCUGACCUUCUCAGGUUACUACCCUCCACCCUCUUAUGCAGACCUUCGAUGGGAUAAUAACUUUUCCGAGAGACUUCAACAUCUUUCGGCCAUGUGCAUCACAAUCAUGGGAUUUAAAUAUAUCUGCAUAAGGUAAUUAGUAGCACAUCUGUUAUAAGGUUAUUGAUCUGAAAAUUCUUCGAGUUGCUUGAGUUAUUCAAUUCAUAGUACAUACACAAUUAAAACUACUGUUAGAGAUGUAUCAGAAAGCCAUUCAUGCAUCUUUAUUUAAUAGCGUAAGCCUUUAAGAUAGUUCAUUCAUGAUAUAUGUUAAUUGUAUUAAGAAAAAGAAAAACUAAUUAUGUAUUUUCAACUAACAGCUUAAGCUUUUGAGAUAUCUAGUUCUUGAUGAAACAAAUGUCUACAACAGACAAGUGAGAAGAAAACCAUCAUCUUAACUUAAAUCAAUCACGAAGACCUACCCUCUCAAGCACGGAAACAUUGUAGUUUGUAGCAUAUCAGUGUGCAUGUUUCAAAAAGUUGCCCCCAAAUGAUCAUCAGAAGAUAGUUAUGCUAUGUAACCGGUUUUAGGCUAUAAUAUAACAGGUUAUAUAUAACUGAUUUUGAC